rnacentral:lncRNA from 1 species
ACUGUGCUUUCCAUGGGCUUAAAUAAUGGAGUAAUUUAGAUUCUCUUAAUUGCAUGCAUCAGCAAAUGAUACGUCACUCUUGUAGCAACAGAUUUCUUGACCCUGCACAGUUUCACGUGAUGAGGUUUCGUUCGGACUCAUCUUCCACUUCAUUCUUUUUAAUUUAUUGUGAAGCUUGAGCUCCGUACCUUUUUAUCCAGAAGGAAUCAUCUCAAAAGUAGAUGGAAUUUUUUAAUUAUAGGCCUUUAACUCUCUCUCUCUCUCUCUCUCUCUCUCUCUCUCUCUCUCUCUCUCACAGAGAGACUACAAUUAAAACCCUAUUUAAGGGAUUCAAGCUAUACCAAUACAUGCACCAAAUUAACAAACAAACAAGUCACUUUUUAUUGCAUAUACACUUCGAUUAGCUACAUAGAAAUGGCACCAAGUAAGUCAAACCUUAUGAAGGCUGGCUCAGAAGGGUUUGCGAUGUUGGAUGAGUACUUUCGACAAAAGGGCGGAUCAAAGCAGCAGCAGCAACAACAACAAUAUAUACAUAAGUUUCGGCAUCAGCCACCAAAACCUCAUGUUGUUCAGGUGAUUGUUCCUGUUCCUGAAGCCAAGGAGGCAGUACGUAUCAAUUGCUACGAGGCAGCAAAGGUCUAUGGUGGCACCGUGAUUGCGGAAUAUCCCAACACCAAGAAACCCUCCAUACGUUAUAUGCCUUGAUCUGGAAUUAGGUUCUUAUAUAAGUUAAAUUAUAUAUCCACUAGUACUAAUCAAGUCAGUCUUGUAGCUUAAAGGCUACUAUAGAACUGCAUGUGUGUUAUAAAUCAAGUCAGUCUUGUAGCUUAAGGCUACUAUAGAACUGUGUGUUAUAAAUGUAACAAAACUCAUUAUAUAUAUAAUCUGUUAGUUUUAAAUUUCUGUAGUAAUUUGCAAUAUAAUUAUCUCUGCAGUGAGUGAGUCCAAAUUUCUAUAUAAUUUAUUGUCUCCAUCGCUCGUUUAAUUAUGUAAAUAGAUAAGAAUGACAACUCAACUAUACUUGUGUAUAAUUCAUUGCCUCACUCAUUUAUUAUAUAAAUUGAUAAAAAUGACAUGACAGUAAUA